rnacentral:misc_RNA from 1 species
UUUCCGUAGGUGAACCUGCGGAAGGAUCAUUCAUAAUAAGUGUUUUACUGCACUUUUUAAAAAUAGUACUCACCUUGCGUGCAAUGUUGUGUUUCUUUUCGGAGAAACACCUACACCAACCUAUAACCUUGAACCACUUUGUCUGAAAAACUAUUAUGAAUACUUAAUUCAAAAUACAACUUUCAACAACGGAUCUCUUGGCUCUC